rnacentral:tRNA from 1 species
UUAUUACUUUGGCAGAUUAGUGCAAUGAAUUUAGAAUUCAAAAAUAUAAUUUUUAUUGUAAGUA